rnacentral:tRNA from 1 species
GGGAUAUAGCUCAGUUGGUAGAGUGCUUGCCUAGCAUGUACAAGGCCCUGGGUUCAAUCCCCAGUCCCA